GUGUCAGCAGCCGCGGUAAUACAGAGGUCCCGAGCGUUGUUCGGAUUCAUUGGGCGUAAAGGGUGCGUAGGCGGUGGGGUAAGUUGGAUGUGAAAUCUUGGGGCUUAACCUCAAAAUUGCAUUCAAUACUGCUCCGCUAGAGUUCUGUAGAGGAGAUUGGAAUUUACGGUGUAGCAGUGAAAUGCGUAGAUAUCGUAAGGAACGCCAGUGGCGAAAGCGAAUCUCUGGGCAGCAACUGACGCUGAGGCACGAAGGCCAGGGGAGCAAACGGGAUUAGAUACCCCCGUAGUCC
rnacentral:rRNA from 1 species